rnacentral:rRNA from 1 species
AUUGAACGCUGGCGGCAGGCCUAACACAUGCAAGUCGAAUGGUAACAGGAAACAGCUUGCUGUUUCUCUGACGAGUGGCGGACGGGUGAGUAAUGUCUGGGAAACUGCCUGAUGGAGGGGGAUAACUACUGGAAACGGUAGCUAAUACCGCAUAACGUCGCAAGACCAAAGAGGGGGACCUUCGGGCCUCUUGCCAUCAGAUGUGCCCAGAUGGGAUUAGCUAGUAGGUGGGGUAACGGCUCACCUAGGCGACGAUCCCUAGCUGGUCUGAGAGGAUGACCGGCCACACUGGAACUGAGACACGGUCCAGACUCCUACGGGAGGCAGCAGUGGGGAAUAUUGCACAAUGGGCGCAAACCUGAUGCAGCCAGGCCGCGUGUAUGAAGAAGGCCUUCGGGUUGUGAAGUACUUUCAGCGGGGGGGAAGGGAGUAAAGUUGAUACCUAUGCUCAUUGAUGUUACCCGCAGAAGAAGCACCGGCUAACUCCGUG